rnacentral:rRNA from 1 species
UACGUAGGCAGCGAGCGUUGUUCGGAAUUACUGGGCGUAAAGAGUGUGUAGGCGGUGCUCUAAGUUCGGUGUGAAAUCUCCUGGCUCAACUGGGAGGGUGCGCCGGAAACUGGAGUGCUUGAGCGUGGGAGAGGAAAGCGGAAUUCCUGGUGUAGCGGUGAAACGCGUAGAUAUCAGGAGGAACACCUGUGGUGUAGACGGCUUUCUGGACCAUAACUGACGCUGAUGCACGAAAGCGUGGGUAGCAAACAGG